rnacentral:rRNA from 1 species
CCUACGGGGGGCAGCAGUGAGGAAUAUUGGUCAAUGGCCGGAAGCCUGAACCAGCCAUGCCGCGUGAAGGUCAGUGCCCUAUGGGCGUUAAACUUCUUUUGUGCGGGAGCAAUAAUGGUCACGUGUGGCCAGAAGAGAGUACCGUACGAAUAAGCAUCGGCUAACUCAGUGCCAGCAGCCGCGGUAAUAAGGGGGAGGCAAGCGUUCUCCGGCUUUAUUGGGUUUAAAGGGUGCGUAGGCUGUGAGGUAAGUCAGCGGUGAAAUGCCCCCGCUCAACGGGGUGAAGUGCCAUUGAUACUGCCUUGCUGGAAUGCGGAUGCGGUGGGAUGAAUGUGUGGUGUAGCGGUGAAAUGCAUAGAUAUCACACAGAACACCGAUUGCGAAGGCAUCUCACGAAUCCGCGAUUGACGCUGAUGCACGAAAGCGUGGGUAUCAAACAGGAUUAGAUACCCGUGUAGUC